rnacentral:rRNA from 1 species
GAGUUCAUAGUACGUGAAACCGUUCAGGGGUAAACCUGAGAAACCCGAAAUUUCGAAAGGGGUGAUUCAGCGUGUCUCGCACGGAGGCGAGUUGGAGCGGUGUGACCGAUGCCCUUCGGGACUUUGGCUCUCGUUCUUUCCGACCUUCGUCGAACGCGUGCACUUCUCCCCUAGUAGGACGUCGCGACCCGUUGGGUGCAGGCCUAAGGGCGGGAUUGGAGACCGUGCGACACUUUCGGGUGUUCGUUCACGUACUUUUCUCGUUCCCGGUCUGCUCGCUCGACGGUAUGACUGUGGCGCUGGGCCGCGAAUUUGUUCGCGUCCGGCACGUCGCAAGUGCGGUCGGUUCAUGUGUCGAACGCUGUCGGACCUGGUGCCGGCUUCGAACCCGACCCGCUGUUGGCGACGUUGUUCUCGGACAGACCCAGUACGCCUGUCUGCGACGCUUUUGAUUUGGGUACUUUCAGGACCCGUCUUGAAACACGGACCAAGGAGUCUAGCAUGUGCGCGAGUCAUUGGGACUUUCGAAUCCUAAAGGCGUAAUGAAAGUGAAGGCCGCCUCGUGCGUGUCUAGGGUGGAUGCGCCGGUCCUUGUGCCGGUGCCGCACACCCGGGGCGUCUCGUGCUCAUUGCGAGCUGAGGCGCACCUAGAGCGUACAUGCUGGGACCCGAAA